UUUGCCUCCCACACAUUUGUCAGUCUUGACCGCUAAUGUUUUCGCUAGCAGCAGCUGAAAUCUGGUUUCAUCUGCGUUGUAGAUAUCCUUGUCGGCAUACGUUCCAAGGAUGCGGUCCAUGUUCUUUUCCAUCCACUUCUGGAGUGACUGGUCGUCAAUGGACGUGGCCUCCCCGACAAUGUUCUACUUAUCUUCCACUCCUGGUUUCAGGGACAGCACCUCCCUUUUUCCCACCGACGUCCCGGAGCUCACGGAACUCGACAUGGUCGACAAACCGGCGGUGCAGAAGAAUCAGGCAACAGUCCGAGUCUAUUCCGUGGAAUUCUAAUUGUGCAAGUCCGUUGUCCAUAGGGGAAGUCAGGAUGGCAGAAGGAGCAAAGCAGGAUGGGGUCAGUACGAUACGAAAAGCAGUGGACGAAGGACGAUAACAACGGGCGCCCUGCGUGACCCGUGCCACGGUGUGUUCGAAACUCCAAACGAUAUGACUCUGGAGUUGGCAUUGCACAACGCAUACACCCCACUCAAGUCUUACAAGUGUGGUACUCGCGACUCGCGAGUAUGCGAACAGGACGACGCUACCUUGCGUUAGCUACCCCUGCCGACUCAGUUAUUCUGGCGCGUCCAGCAGUUAGUUGUACCCGUCACAUGACAGCAAAAGAGAAACAAUGAUGAUUGGCCGCUAAGAAUGCUGCUGUCAGUGAA